rnacentral:rRNA from 1 species
GACAUCCCUUUGACCGUCCUAGAGAUAGGAUUUUCUUUCGGGACAGAGGUGACAGGUGGUGCAUGGUUGUCGUCAGCUCGUGUCGUGAGAUGUUGGGUUAAGUCCCGCAACGAGCGCAACCCCUAUUGUUAGUUGCCAUCAUUGAGUUGGGCACUCUAGCGAGACUGCCGGUAAUAAACCGGAGGAAGGUGGGGAUGACGUCAAAUCAUCAUGCCCCUUAUGACCUGGGCUACACACGUGCUACAAUGGUUGGUACAACGAGUCGCAAGCCGGUGACGGCAAGCUAAUCUCUGAAAGCCAAUCUCAGUUCGGAUUGUAGGCUGCAACUCGCCUACAUGAAGUCGGAAUCGCUAGUAAUCGCGGAUCAGCACG